UUAUAAGAAAAUUCCAUUCAAACAUUUCUUGGGGAAAACCUGAAGCUUUUGAAGUGUGAUGCUAAGGAAAUCAUUUAUUUCUAUGUCAAUUCUACUCAACGUUUCUGUUAACUCUUAGAUUAUCUGCAGUUCCAUUAUUUGCUAAUUCACUGUGUGACUAGGCAGAAGUCCUUUCAUCUUACAUCUUCAGUCUUCUCAACUGGAAAACGUGGGGACUGAAUUAGCAGAAUUCUCAAAGUUACCAUGAACAUUUUUUAAAAGUAUGUACUUCUACAGCGGGGGCUGGGAUUUGAGGUAAAUAGACUCCAGUGACACAAGACCUCUGUCAAGCAAGGUGAGUUGCCUUUGGGCCCCUCCCAAAGUUCCCUCAAAUCCCACCACGGUCCCUAUAACCUCCUGUGAAUAGAUAAUAGGCAGAAUUGGAUUGUAGGUAGAGAGCUGAGGAGGAAAGCCUCUGAGGGCAGAGGGUGUGCAUCAGAGCUCAGGCCCUCCCAUUCUGGGAGAGGGAAAGUUACAAUGCCCCUGCUUCCUGGACUGGAGGCUCCCUGAUUCAGCCCUUGGGCAGUUGGAAAAAGUCUCCAAGGCUUUGAGGGAUGGGGUCUUUCAGAGAGGAAUUAAAUUGGGAUAGCAAGACUAUUAGCCA
rnacentral:lncRNA from 1 species